GGCGGGUCUCCCCGCAUGGCUAUGUCGUGAAUCGGGUCAGGUCCGGAAGGAAGCAGCCCCAGCGACGGGUGCCAGUGCCGGGGUAAGGCUCGCCACU
rnacentral:SRP_RNA from 1 species